UGCUGACUACAAGAGAGGUAGAAGACUUGUAUGGCCUUGGAUUCGAGUAAUUUAAUUGUAAACUCUUUGAUACAUGAAAGAAACAGCUGGGAAAUAGCAUUUUGCAUAUUACUGGCUCUCUGCAAUAAGAGGCACCUCCAUACAGUUAUGUGCUGCCUUUGUAAUCUCAGAGAUUGCACCAUACACACCUCCUUCAGCUACACGGGUUGCUCAUGCCAGCACUUAAACAACAGCAGUAACAAAAGGAAGAGAGAUACAUGCAGAAGUUGCUGAAAAAACUGUGUUUUCUUGCAGAUCCCAGAUGCAGCAUUCCUGUGCACACAGCAUCAGACAUCUGGAAAUGUGACCUCUCUUUCAUCAACUUGCUUGAGAAUUCAGAAUUGUUACUUGCUUUUCAGAAGCAUUAUUCUUUGUGAAUGUACCCCACAGAAGCCACCAGAGCAACCUCAGCAGUGCAUUGACACAUCACUCUCUGUCCUCAACUUGCUUCCAAAAACCUCAUCAAGGACCUUUGUGGAAGGGAAUCAGUGAAAGCUGCUAGGAUUCUGAAGGCAUGCCUGGACCCCAUAUUUUGUGUGUAGUUACCUUCCAGGCUGCUGCAACCUCCCCUGAUGACUGGAGCCAUAGCACUGCUACCAACACACUAUCCUCCACAGUGAGACUGGUGACCUCCUUCCUUGCCAUCGGGGACAGGACACUCAGCUCUGGAGCUGGAGGUUGGGCAGUAACUCUAAAGUCAGCAAUACCUGCAAAAGAGCAAGAGAGGUGACAAAAAGAGAUAGUUACUUCUCAGAAAUACCUAUGGAGCAGGUGGAUCACAUGACUGGGAGUUCGGAGUAGGAAGAGGUGUGGAAGUCUAUGAAGUUAUACGGGGAAGUUUCCUAUGAGAUGACCUGUCAGAACUCAAGACAUUCCUUUGAGAGUCCGAAGUUUCCUGAGACCCUUGCCAGGGGGUUCGGAGACCCUAGCACACAGCCCAGAACACCAACGUGUUCGAUUACAAACCACAAAACAACUUGUCACCUUUAUAGAAAGAGAUAAAAGCCACAAUAGUGUAAAUAGUGUAAGAAUAAAAUAAUUACAGAGUCUAAAUGUAAGUUUUAAGAUUUUUGGUAUAAGAGUUUCUAGUGACAAGAUAGAGAGAUUUGGGCGUGUCUAGCCUUUCUUCUUCUUCUCUACCUCCAUCUUGUCUGGUGAUGUCAGCACUUUUAGAUUAGUCUAAAGUAGAAACUCACUGUCUAAUAUAGAUGAUAAGUAUUAGAAAAUAACUGUAAAUAUUGUACAUGUAGUUUGUAGUAUAUAAAGAUAACACCGCCCUGGGGGUGGGCAGAGUGCCUCUGGCUGUCCUGCCAAACGAAUCUCAGCUAGACAGGGAGAAAGAACUUUAUAGAUAAGAUGCAAUAAACAAUCUUGAGACCGAAAAAAUAAA